rnacentral:rRNA from 1 species
GGGCUUGACAUCCCACGAACCUGCCUGAAAGGGCGGGGUGCCCGCAAGGGAGCGUGGAGACAGGUGGUGCAUGGCUGUCGUCAGCUCGUGUCGUGAGAUGUUGGGUUAAGUCCCGCAACGAGCGCAACCCUCACCCCUAGUUGCCACCGGGUAAUGCCGAGCACUCGAGGGGAACUGCCAGCGUCAAGCUGGAGGAAGGCGGGGAUGACGCCAAGUCAUCAUGCCCCUUACGUCCUGGGCUACACACGUGCUACAAUGGCCAGUACAAAGGGAUGCAAGACCGCGAGGUGGAGCUAAUCCCAAAAAGCUGGUCUAAGUUCAGAUUGCAGUCUGCAACUCGACUGCAUGAAGGAGGAAUCGCUAGUAAUCGCGCAUCAGCCCGGCGCGGUGAAUACGUUCCCGGGCCUUGUACAUACCGCCCGUCACACCACGAAAGCUUACUGUACUCGAAGUCGCUGAG